GGACCAGCUCCAGUCUGUAAAAUCGGAUGGACUGCCAAUCGGAGAAUGAAAGCUACCCAGCCUGGCCUUACAUUCUUUCACUUAAUACAUAAACAAGAAGGGGGAAAUGUUGGGAGCCAAAAAGGCCAAAGGGAUGGUGACCAACUCAGCAUUCCACUGGAGGCUACAUGAUCAAACAGCAAACUGUUUAUCAUGAAUACAGAAUGUGGGCAAACUCGCUUCUGUGCCUGCCCAGAAGGUUUGCUGAGGGCCAUCGCUCCCUGGCCCCGGCUCCUUGAGGUUAUCUACUGGGACAUCUAGAGCCUAUUGUUCGAGGAAUGCAGUCUUGCAAGCCUACUCUGGACCGAGCAGCUGACCUCUUCUUCCACACCCCUUCUCACUAUCUCUUUUGCCUAAUAAAUAUGGAGGGCUGUGUAAAGCUCAGGGCCCUUGUCCACUAGAGGCAAGGUGUCCCCUGA
rnacentral:lncRNA from 1 species